rnacentral:rRNA from 1 species
UACGUAGGGUGCAAGCGUUGUCCGGAAUUAUUGGGCGUAAAGAGCUUGUAGGCGGUUUGUCGCGUCUGCUGUGAAAUUUCGGGGCUCAACCCCGAACUUGCAGUGGGUACGGGCAGACUAGAGUGUGGUAGGGGAGACUGGAAUUCCUGGUGUAGCGGUGGAAUGCGCAGAUAUCAGGAGGAACACCGGUGGCGAAGGCGGGUCUCUGGGCCGUUACUGACGCUGAGGAGCGAAAGCAUGGGGAGCGAACAGG